UACGGAGGAUGCAAGCGUUAUCCGGAUUCAUUGGGUUUAAAGGGUGCGCAGGCGGAUUGGUAAGUCAGGGGUGAAAUCCCACAGCUCAACUGUGGAACUGCCUUUGAUACUGUCAGUCUAGAGUAUAGUUGAAGUUGGCGGAAUGUGUCAUGUAGCGGUGAAAUGCUUAGAUAUGACACAGAACACCGAUCGCGAAGGCAGCUAGCUAAGCUAUAACUGACGCUCAUGCACGAAAGCGUGGGGAUCAAAC
rnacentral:rRNA from 2 species